UGCUGCUCAGAGCAAAGCCGCCGAAAGACGGCGACGCAGAGCCACGGGGCUACGGUGGGUUGACCGCCUUGCUCGCCUGGCCGCCAGC
rnacentral:ncRNA from 1 species